rnacentral:rRNA from 1 species
UGGGGAAUUUUGGACAAUGGGCGAAAGCCUGAUCCAGCAAUGCCGCGUGAGUGAUGAAGGCCUUCGGGUUGUAAAGCUCUGUCUUUUGGGACGAUAAUGACGGUACCAAAGGAGGAAGCCACGGCUAACUACGUGCCAGCAGCCGCGGUAAUACGUAGGUGGCAAGCGUUGUCCGGAUUUACUGGGCGUAAAGGAUGCGUAGGCGGAUUUUUAAGUGAGAUGUGAAAUACCCGGGCUUAACUUGGGUGCUGCAUUUCAAACUGGGAAUCUAGAGUGCGGGAGAGGAGAAUGGAAUUCCUAGUGUAGCGGUGAAAGUGCGUAGAGAUUAGGAAGAACACCAGUGGCGAAGGCGAUUCUCUGGACCGUAACUGACGCUGAGGCAUGAAAGCGUGGGUAGCAAACAGGAUUAGAUACCCUGGUAGUCCACGCCGUAAACGAUGAGUACUAGGUGUAGGAGGUAUCGACCCCUUCUGUGCCGCAGUUAACACAAUCAAGUACUCCGCCUGGGAAGUACGAUCGCAAGAAUUAAAACUCAAAGGAAUUGACGGGGGUCAAUAGCU